CUAUUCUCUUCUUUUUCACCUAUCUUACAAUAAUCAUAUAGUCUUCUCCUUAAUGUACUGCUUAGUACUCAUUUUCUGGUUGCAGCAAUUUCUUUUGUAGUCUGGAAUUCUUACAGAGGCUGAGGAAAUGAGACCUACCAGUUGGAAUUGAUUGCAGGUGUCAUUAAGUCUAUAUGAAGAAUUGAUUUUGUUUCCCUCUAGUGAUGAGGUAAAAAAACCAAACCAAACCAAACCAAACCAAACCAAACCAAACCAAACCAAACCAAACCAAACCAAACCAAACCAAACCAAACCAAACACCACAAAAAAACCAAGCAAACAAACAGAAAAACACAAAUGAAAAUUAUCAAGAUUUUGGUUUGUAUUAAAAUAAAUAUGGACUUUUAAACUUUUUUUUUCUCCCCAAAUAAGAAUGAAAACUCCCCAAAUAUAUUUUAUGUCAAAUGAAACCUUAUGUUUAAUCCUAAAUGAAACAUUUAUUUUCCCAAGCGUUUACAAGAAAAGCAAAGGAAAUGAAGGGAUAGAGUCACAAAACUGGAAAGUGAAAUGGACAGUUGGACAGUUUUAGCUUAGUGCCAGAGAACUGUUCUGUCACUUUUCAACUUUGUAUAAAUAUUUAUUAGAAAACAGAAAUGAGCCCAGAGGACUGUUACAACUUGCAGGCUACCUUCACCUCCUCCUUUGUCUAUUUCCCUUGAAGAUUUAAAAAAAAUAUUUAACAAAAAGUAGACUAGAAGGCAGCAUCUUCACUCCCAUCCUUUCCUGAAGCACAGCAGUGGUAAAGACAAAGGGUGAGUUCACACACACCUUCUUUGCAUGGCAUAACAUUUAACCACUCCUGACAUGUACAACUCACUUUUCCUGUGCUACCAAGCCCCUGGAGCACAAAGCAGUGAAUUUUAACUCAGAUCUCUGUAGCAAACAUCCAAACCAUCAGGUUUUAGUGGUGCUCCCUCAGUCACUUCUGCUGAAGCUCUUCUACCCUGUUUUUUAGGGUUUUUGGGAGGUAAGACAACUAGAGGAAGUGAAUGUGGCUCCCUACCCCAAGGGGUAGGAUGUUCAGCUGGAAGGUGAGAAACCUGCAAUUCAGGGUUUUUAAAGUUACUGAUUGCUAGUGAAAUAAGACAGCCUGGCAGAUUGAGGUAGAUGACCUGCCCUGAGCAAGAGAAGAGUUGAUAUCAUGGGUGAGCUUCUGGGAGGUGAGGGCCAUUGGUUACAUCUCCUCUGGCAGAGGAGGAAAACCAGUGUUUUCUCACAUCCAGCUGUGUUUUCCCUCUAGUAUAAUACUAGCUGAAAGUAUACCACAACUGAUACUCUCCCAAGUCUGCUUUUUUAAACUUUUCUUCAAGCCAAAAUGAUUUGGUGAAUUUGACCAGCCUGCCCUUUGCUACAUAUAUUACAUGGCAGGUAUCCCACCAAAUAAAAAAUGUCCUUGAACAUGUGUGAAUUUACAGUACAAGUCCAGAAUAAACAGUGGGCUGAAUUAAGUCGUUAAGGUGAAAUUCACCUUUCCUUUCAGAAAGCUCUAGAAAUCAAGACUAUACAUGGCAUUUCUCUCAACACAAAUGGAGCUGUAGCAGAGUAGUCUAUAGGCAGCAAAGAAAUUUGAAUUGUAGAUUUUAUAGGGUAGAUACCAUAUCUUCUAGGUAUAGUUUUAUGCUUGGUCUAAGCCUUUGACUGAAUAAUCUUUGCUGAAGUUGCCUGCAGCGUUUGGGUGCCUGUAGAGAGAAUAUUAAAUAAGAGGAAACAAAAUACUUUACAUGUGAAGAUGAGCUGAGAGAGGCCAGGUUUAGCCUUGAAUAGGUUUUCCAGAAUUGUACGUUUCUGUGGUAGCAUAUUCAUGAACAAGGAACCUUCUUGUGUUUUCCUGAUACAGACAAGGAAAAAGUCUGAGACCAAGCCAGUCUCUCUGCAUGGAAUCAAGUCACUCCUCCCUUGGAUUGUGGAAGCUUGCAGUCUACUUCCAAUUCAGCUGUAAUUUUCCAAUUUACUGUAUUUUUGUAGGAAAGGGUACCUGUGUAUGUGACUUUGUUUAUGCACAGCAAGAACUUUUGUUGGCAACCUCAGCUUAUGCUCACAAAGUCUAUUUAAGUUGAGCAAGCUGCAUUAAUAGCAGUCAAGCAUUAGUGUUCAGAGCUUGAGGGUAAUCAAAGGGAGGCAGUGAAAAACGAGGUUUUUUUCCUACACAAUUCUUUAUUAGAGCUAAAAAAUGAAAAGCAAUUUUGAAAAAGUGAGAAAGUUUCAUUUUGUCUAUAAAAUGUCAGGAUAACCAGACAAAAAUGAAAAGGGAGAAUCAAGCUCUGACCCAGGUGUUCCAUAAAAGAUCUCCACUGAAUUUUCCCUUGGGUAGCUGAAUUGAGGAUGCUGAAACAGAUUCUUUCUACACUGGUGACACCUAAGUGACCAAUACUUGUUUGUAUUUGUACUUGUCCUUGUUUUGCCAGGACUCAGCAUCAGGACUUUCUUGUGGCAUUAAAAUACAAAAUUUCAGUUUAUUUCAGAACAGAAAAAGACAAAAAUGAUCUUCUACGCAUUUUGCCACUGUGGCUAAGUAAAUACAUAUAAUUUACUUUACGUUUUAUAUAGUACAUAUGCAUAGAAUAUAUGAAAAUUUAUGCUAAAAGUCACAUAAAAAGUAAUUUUUAAUUAUACUAUAAAACUGAAAAUAAUUUCGGAUUGAUCAAAAACUUUCAUUUGACAUAAAGUCAAAUAUUCAGUUUCCUUUGUAAGGUUUUAAACUCUUUUUUAAACGCCUUCAAAGUAAUUGGACAACUUUAAAGUAAAAAUGCCAUUUUAAACAAAAAGGGAAAGAAUACUGAAAAUAUAAAAUGAAACACUUUGGCCUGUCAUUCAUCUUUCUAAGAGCUCAUUGUCAAAACUGUUAAUUAAAUUUCAUCUAUCCUUUCUCUGCCCCCUUGCAAGAAGUGGUUUUCAGCAUGUGAAAUACUCACUGAGCAUAAAUAACCUAAUCUACCCUAGAGACCUCAUGCUGCACUCCUUUCUCUAGUUUGCACAUUUUAUUUGCCAUUAUUUGCAUGCUCAAAUAGCUGCCCUGAUGUUCACUUACCCACUGAGCUGUGCACAGAAGUGUACAAGGCACACUCCUCAGAAGUUUUAACAGAAAGAUCUGUGAUAUCAAUAUGCUAUGAUUGCUGCAGAAUUUGAACAGCUGCCCCAAUAAAUCUCCAGAAGUGCAGUGAGCAGCGCUGACAGAAGCUCCAAUAAUGCCAUGCUACCCUGCUUCCCAUGGGUUUUCCUUUCCUGCCUCCUCACGGUCAGCCACGCUGGUGCUGCUCCAUCUGCUCAACUCCGAGAUGAGUCUGUGUGCUUGCAGAGGAAAUUGGAUUACUUUUUGCACAUUUACAUGCUUGUUUUCAUUUCUUCUGUCAAAAACAUUUCUGACCUGGGAAAGAAGGAGUUAAUAAAAAUAGGCUUUUUGCUCUUGAAAUGUCAGCCGCAGCUUCUCAUCACCCCAUGAAAAGCCCUCUUGUUUCCUUGCUCAGCUCCUCCUGAACUUCAAACAGUCCUAUAAUCCCUUUGACCUUAGAAGGUCAAAGAUAUAUAAAAUGUAUCAUUCUUUGUGUAAAAGUGCAUUAAUCAUUCUUACCUAGCUUUUUAUUCUCUUUUGAGGGCCCUGUGAUAUUUUAAUUCUUGAGCCACCUUCUAGCAUUAACAUAUAUAACUUCAACUCUUUUCUUGAGCAGGUGAAAAGAGGAGAAAUCCUUUCUGUCCCUCCUUUUGCAAACUCACUGAAUAGAGGCAUAUAAUUUAUUUUAAUGAUUAAUUUAAUUGCAUAAUUUAAAACAUUAAUAUUAAUUCAAAAUGCACAUAUGUAUGUCCAAUUGCACUAUAAAUAUUGUUUAAUUAAAGAGUGGAAGCAGAUAUUUAACUAUGCUGCUCUCAAUUUCUAUGAAUUUAGCAGGACUUGAAAGUUCUGGGAGUAAAUUCUGAUGUCAAUGGAAAUCUGGAAUUUAAUUUAGGUCAAUGAAAAAAACCCUCUGGACUUUCGGCUGAAGACAGAAUUUGUUUUCCUUGAGGAGCCGUAUCCUGCAGUGUGGAGGGAAAGGGAAUAGCCAACAUGAAAACCCCUCUAAAAACGAAGCAACUUCAGACAAACUUAAUUAACUGUGUGGAGCCUGUCAAAGGUCAGGGCGAGCUCACUGCAGGAAAUGCAAGUGCAAGACUGAAACAUUGGCAACGAGAGGGUGAGGGCAAAGGCAAGAUGAGCCUUUCAGGCAGGCACGGCUCUGUGCUGGAGAGCCAAGCCACCCGUGUGUGAGGUGCCUGCCAGGGAAGAGCUCCUGCCUCCUUGGGUCCUGCCUUUGUCUGACAGAGUGUAUUGAUGCCAGCAGGCAGCAAUUGUCACAGAACAGAAUCACACAUCACUCGGGUCAUCGUGCACAUGUGUGCUCCUGCAUCAGGCCCUCAGUCAGAGCAGGCAGAGGAAUGGGCUGGAUGGAGGAGGCUGGGGAGAGCUGGGCUGGCACUGGAGCUGUUUUGGGCCUGACUUGUGCUUUCUCAGCUACCCAUGCUACUCUUGGAGGAGCAGCUUUCUUGAACUGAGGUACGUGUUCACUAGUACUUCAGUUUUCUUUCCUUUUGUUUGUCUUUCUUUUUUCCAAGUAAGAUUGCUUGCCAAUGGGUUGGCAGAACAGUUUUUGACUCUAGUUCCAUGAGCAAUGUUGGGACUGUCACAUAUUUGGAGCAACUCUGCACGAGAUGCUUGGAAAGGGAGGGCACAGAAGCAUUUUGAAAUGGUGAGGCCAGAAAGAAAACCACUGACUGCAGAACUACAUCAAAGUGUCACAGCUGGGGAAAGCCCCUUGAGGUGAUAUCUACUACCUUUGUACUGAUAUUUUUUCCUGGGUAAACAGCGUUUUGUUUACUUAGCGCUUAGUGCCUCGCACUAAAAGAAUAGAAGUAGCAACCGAUUGUUGCGUCGAUAAGUCAGAGAGGUCAUGCUGAUGGGCCCAGAUCUGUCCCCCUUUUUCUUGACCCUGCUCUUGUAGGACUGCAAAACAGUCUUGGGGACAUACAGGGGCACAGCAAUGUCCUGAAAUUUGGGUGUCUGACACAGCUGUUCUCAGUUUCCUUCAGCCUUCCUGGCAUUAUUCCAGACUCAGCAUAAAGCAGUCACUAAUCCCCUUAAACCUUUGGAACAGAACAACAAAAUGAUGAGAGAAGGACAGCUCAAAGUAGAUGAGCAAUCCAGGGAAAAAUGCGCAUUUUAAAUGUGCUGUUCUUCCCUACAGGGAGUGGCAAAAUGCCUCUCACUGAUGGUUGUCUCCCUCUGGCUACAGAAAGGCUGCUUCUGACAGCUGUACAGUUCCCGGGCUUUUUUAUCUUUCCCUCUCUCCUCCCCUUGCCACAGGUAGCAAGGGGAGCUGCACCAGCUCUGACUUUUUACCAGUAAGUUCUGUAAGCUGAAAAUGAAAUAAAAUUAUGGAUUGAUGCUGGUAGGGCAAGGGUGCACUACAAACAAAAUAUUCUCUCUGUUGACAGCAUGAACGGAUGAGCCAUUGGGCUGCUCAUGCCUGGGAAAAGCACGUUGUAAACCAGAGAACUGAAGUACUCUUGUACCUGUGAGAGACUGUAAAACUCUCCUGCUUCAGAACAUGGGAUCCUGCCAUCAAGUCAAUCUCAGACCAUCAGCCCUCGACCCUGCAACAAAUGUUGUCUUCCCAGUCCUUUGGCACUCGCCACCCUUGCAGCAGGGCAGAUUUCUGCAGUUGUGAUGGGUGCCCUAAGCUCAGAGCGACAGCUCCCUUUCCCCCUGAGCUUCCCUAUUAGCCCUUUCUUCCCCCCAGUGUGGUGAGGUCCAGCUUCCUUCCUACUGCAGCUGCCUCUUCUCUUUUCCCAGUAUCAAAACUCACAAAUCCCACCACUGCCACCCUCAAGGAUUUUAAAUAACUUUAACAGGUUCUUUCCCUGGGUCAUUUCACUGUGCCCUUGGGCUGUUUUUUGUUUUUAUUUUAAUCUCCUAUUAUCUUUUAAUUUAAUUUUAUUUUAUGAAACUUCGGCAACUUUUGUUCUGAAAGAGCUCAGGCCUCCCAGGGAUGUGAUCCAUUUUAACCUCCUACCUUGGGCACUGAUCCUGGCUUUCAUCUACCCCCCUGCAAUGCACUGCUUUGGCCACUCAGCCAACAGACUGUGCAGGAGGGGCUUUUCCCAGACAAAUUCCCACAUAUGAGGUCUCAGAAUCACACCAUGGGAGAUAUGUAUUUACUGUUCUUUGUCAAUACCUACUUCUUUGCCCAAGCCACGAGGGCUUGCUGUCCUAAUCCUGCUAAAGGUAAUGGCCCAGCCAUUACGAAUCUCCGCCCGGCUCAGACAUUUGAUAUUGUGCAUGAAUUUCACUAAUUUACCUCCCAGAAUUUGAGAGAGGUGGGUCCGUAAUUUAAGCCUGAUUUGUGAUUCCAGCCCAGCUUGGAAAACCAUUGAAAUCUAACCCUCCCUGACGGUAGAGGGGACAGAACUCUCCUCCAGACUCUUGCAGAGGAAAGUACGUAGUUGCCUGCAGGUUUAUGGUGUGUGUGUGUGUGUGUGUGUGUGUGUGUGUGUGUGUGUGUAUGUGUGUGUGUGUGUGAAAAAAAAAAGCAUAAAACUGAACCUAGGAACCAUCAGGCCAGGUGUUUCACUCAGUGUUAUGGGUUUCAGGGUGUUGGCAAGCUGUGAUGCUCUUAAUGGACGUCCCAGGUUUCCUGCUGGGACAGAGAAAUGGUGCAUUUAGAUAUUAGUAAAGAGCAUUUCCAGAUACACUUGUGAAGGGAAGAAUUGAAAUUGCAAGGGCUUGGGUGAAAGCUGAAGAAUCUCUUGUUUAUAUAUCUGGGAACAAUGAAUAGUUUAUUCUGGGUACUUCAAUGUGCAGGAGGGGUUCUGCUUUAUCCCUCUCCUUUCGGUGGAAGCCCUGACUGCUUGCCUUGUCCUUGCUCAGAUCCUUCCCAAAACAGAGAGGAGUGAACACAGCCUGAGAUGUGCACCACAUACUGAGCUCCUACCUGUUUCUGGUGAAUAUGAGGAGGAGUUCAGGAGAAGGAUUUGAGGAUUUAAUUUGCUUUCUUUUCCUUUUAUAGUGGAGCAAGUCUAGUAAGCCUGCCUAUGAGAAAGACUUUUCAUGUGUUACAAAAAAGCUGGCUGCAUGAAGCUGACAGUUCAUUGGUAUCCAGGAAGAGGUCGAUUUCUUUCUUUAUAAACAUAUCAGAAUAAGGCUAUAGAAGUAAUAAAACAUUAAACCUUCACCUAUGGAGUUUCUUGGACUCUCCAUCAGAAGAGAAGUGAGGGAAAAAGUAAAAAAUCAUCAGUAUGCUUGUGCAUAUGUACUGGAUUAUUUCUCCAGAAAGGAAAGGAGUCAGUCUGUGAGUAUCUUUUGCAGGCUACAGACCCAUAUUAUCAACUGCAAUGAAACAAUGCUGGAAAGGAAUUGAAUAUUUUGGUGGAGAGUACUUGUAUGAGCUUCAAAAUCAUGUGUGUUCCAGCUGAAAGAUCAACAUAAUUUUGGUUUUAAAAUGCUGACUCUGCUCUGGACGGCUGCUGCUAUUAUGACUUCAUUAGUGUGGCACAGAUUCUUGUCUCCCUCACCCUGGCUUUACUCUGAAGUAGCUCUGUCAGCUCACUGGAGAUAUAUCUGACUUAAUUCAAGACGAGAAUCAGGACACAAAUGUCAUCUGCCUAACUCUUUCAGACAGGCAGGAACUUCUGGUUUGGAUCUCUUUGGGUUAAGAGGAAAAAAAAAAAAGCAAAAAAAAAAAAAAUUUAAAACCUCAAAAAGAAACAUAACCUUUCCUUCCCCUCUAUUUAGUGUGCUGGAGCUGCCCCACAAUGAGACAGUGCAUUUUCUAUUUUUCCUUCUGGGAAGCAGCUGGCUCCCCAGCAGUGACGUGUGGACCCAGCUCAGUUUGCUGCUGGAGCAGGAAGCAGUGGGUUUGCAGGGCUGACGCACUUUGGCUGCCUCUGCCACCCUCCAGCCUCUGAUGGCACAGGCCAAGCUCAUGCAGACAGAUAUGACCUAGAAGGAUGUUUAUGCAAUAAAGCAAUGAAGUAUUUGUUUCAGACAGCUCUGAUGACACUGAAAUUAUAUCACUAGAAAAGCAUCUUCUCUGAAAAUAAUUGCAGCCUACUGCUAGAUCUAGAUUUUGACAGAUUUUGAAAAAAAAAUUUACUGCCUACAUGACCUGGUGUGGGUGUAGUGCAAAAUAUCAAGCUAAAGCAGAGAUGAUGAGAAUGACAAAACAUUCACAUGGCAUGAGUAAGGUCCCAGUGCAGAAAAAUGGCAGAUUUGGGAGUUUGUUCUGGGUUUUCACAGAAUCCAUGAAACCAUGAUAACUGUGUUGUGGUGGGUUGUCCGUGGCUGGAUGUCACUCUAUGCCACCCAAGCCGUUCAAUCCUUCCCCUCCUCAGCUGAACAGGGGAGAGAACAUGUAACAAAAAGCUUGUGAGUCAAGACAAGGACAGGGAGAAAUCCCUCAGUAUGAAAGCCACGGGCAAAACACACUUGACUCGGGUAAAUUACUUAUUUAUUAAUAAAGAAAUGAGAGUAGGGUGAUGAGACAUAAAGCAAAACCUAAAAUACCUCCCCCCUACUUCUCCCUUUUUUCCAGGCUUAGCUUUAAUCAUAAAUUCUCUACCUCUGUUCCCCCAGCAGCACAGGGAGAUGGGGAAUGGGGUUUGCAGUCAGUUCGUCACGUUUCUGCUGCUCUUCCCUAUUCAAGAGGAGGGUUCCUUAUGAUCUUACUGUGCUCCAGUGUGGGUCUCCUUCACAGGGUGCAAUCAUUCAGGAACAGAUUACUCCAGUGUUCCCCUGUGGGGUCACAAGUCCUGACAGAAAACCUGCUCCAGCAAAGGCUUCUCAUGAGGUCACAGCCUCCUUCAGGCAUCCACCUGCUCCAGUGUGGGGUCCUCCAGGGUCUGCAGGUGGAUCUCUGAACCAUCUCGGACCUCCAUGUCUGCAGGGAGAAAACCUGCUUCACCAUGGUCUUCACUAUGGGCUGCAGGGGAGCCAGUGCCUGGAGCAACUCCUGCUCCUCUUUCUUCACAGACCUUGGUGUUAGCAGCUGCUGCUCUGACAUAUAAAUUAUUGCUCCUCUCUCUGGCUGCAAUUUGCUCUUGUGUAGUAGCUUUGCCCCCUUUUAUCUACAUUAUCCCAGAGGCUCUACUGUUGCUGAUGGGCUCAGCCCUGGCUACUAAAACCUUGCUCAGCAAACUUGAUAGAAGCGUACAGGUCCGGUGGUUUGCCAGAGGAAAAGAGAUUGGAAAUUUUUUCUCCAGUGUGAGCUCUUUGCUUGUGAGUACAGUUAAAGAUGUUGAGAGAGAAUUCUGUGUGACAAUUGGCACAAAGCCCAUUGGACCCAAGGGGUUUUGAUUUCUUACACAGGCCAGAAGAAGACCUUAUGAACUGUUGUCUUGCCAGGGCAAGUGACACAAACAGAUUGCUAGUAUAAACAGUGAUUUAUUGGUAUUAAUUAAUUAUGACCAACUAAUGGCAGACCUACUAAUUGUAGAUACCAACCAAUUAUUCUUAAGGAAAAAUACUACCCCUGCAACUUUUCUCCCACUGGUCUAGGAGAAUUUGAUCUGAUCUUCUUUAGAUGGUAUGAGGCCCAAGGUCACUCCUAGACUUCUGACUGAUGAAUGGGAGUUGUUGAAGGAUGUUGUUUUUAUUUGGUAGUUUGGUUUAAACCAACAUAUGACAUUGUCUACACACUGCCAGAGGCUUUGGAAGUGGAGUUUCUAGAGCCAUCUACAAACCAGUCAUCAUAGUACUUUGCAGACUGUGCUGUAGCUCAUGCAAGCCAGCACUUUACUACUACACAAAACAAUAGGCUGAAUUCAUCAAAGUGAUAGUGGGGUCAAAAGGGUAGAGUUGCCAAGGCAUAACUCACCGUAGUCAAAGGUAAUUUUAGUUUUAUUUCCUUUUUGAUUAAUGUUUAAACGUUGAUUAAAAUUUUUCCAGGGGAGAACAAUAGAGCUGUGGGAUAGAUGUUUAACUGAUAAUGCAAAACAAUUAAAAAUAAAAAGUCCCCCUAAACCUCUCAGCAGAACUUUUUCCAAGAGAAGUCCUUCAUGUCAAAGCUAAACAUGCAGCUCCCUUUCCACCUCUGUUGCUCUGCGAAUGAGGGCUGUCGGUAAAUAAAACUAACGUGUUGCCCAUCUGUUAUGCACAGCUAAAGGAAAUUUAAAGACAAUACUACCAGAACUCCCAAAGAUACCAUCUAACUCCAUAAAUAAUUUAUUUUUACAGCUCAGAUCAAAGAGCUCGUGGAUACUGGGCUCAUUACGUCAUGGCGUGCCCUUUGGAAGAAACUCCCACAGUCAUGUGAUUGUUUUUCCACUGCCCUCUGAAAAAGUCCUCAGGCUCAGAAGUUCCCUUUGCUCUGACUCCCUCUCCCGUCCCUGGGAUUAUGUUCCAUAUCAGUUAUGCUGUGGCUGUUCAAACCAUCCUCUCUAGAUUAGCAAGGAUUUUUACUUUUCCCGGAUGCUGCUGAGAUCUCCUGUUGAUCUGAGGAAGGUGUUGGGAAACAGUGUGAAUGGUGGACCAUCAGCAACACCUUGAAGAAGGGACUUUUCACCCCAAAGUGUGACGCUUCAGGAAAAUGUUGGUGCCAUUCCUACUAGAUAAAGCAAGGGAGGAUCAGGCUUUGUGGACCAUGCCAUGGCCUGGGGCCUCAGCUCUUGUGUAGUGGAUUAGAAGUGGUAUCAUGGUGUUAUCACACAUGGGAGACUAACACCUCUCGCAAUAUUUUUAAAGCAGGCCAGAGCAUGCAAGGUUAUGUGUCAUGUUGGGUGAUGUGUCUGGCGUGUCAAGCCACAAAAAGUGGAGAACAGGCUGCAUGGAGGGGCAGACAAGUGUCAGCUGGGAAUACUCAUGAUGGUCCAAGGCAAGGGAGCAACCAAGAUGUUGGCUUUUCAGUGCUGACUGCUCUGUAUCUAUGGACAACUUAGAGUUCACAACCAGAUGCAGAUUAAUGCAGAGAAGCCAGACAAAAUCAGUCUUCUCAUUCCUGCUUAAAUGGUUACUACUGAUUUUUCUCAUGAAGCAAGGCAUAUUGCUUCAUCUAUAUGGCAGCCAUGGAUAAUGGCUGUCAUGUUGUUCCCAAGGAAUACUUUUUGGAAACUGGUCCUUUAAAUCUGGCAGAGCAAAACAUCUUUGGUUCUAACACAGUCAUUUUGAGAUUUGAUCUUCCUCUCAGGCUGGUAAGCAUUCUUAAAUUCUUUUUCUUCCUUCUUUUACUUUGAAGUGUUGCUGAGGAAACUUGAUGACUUUAGCACACUGCCUGUGAUAACAUUGAUAAAAAUAAUCUCUGUAGCAGUCUGGAGCCCUCUAAGAAGCAGACUGCAUGCACAGCUCAGGCAGCUUACAAAGCUCUGACAGUAGGAAAGCGUGGCCAGGGCCGGAGAUGGGUGGUAAAACAAGCCCCAUUUCUUGUAGCCUGUUCAGCCAGGAGGGGCUGGGGAGAAUGGUCACACUCAGAGAUUACUUUGGCAGCUCCUUAAGUUUCCCUGCUUGUAGCCACUUUUCAUUCUCUGGAGGCUGAGGUCCCUGUUUGGUGGGCUGGGCAAAUGUGUUUUGAAUUGCCACUCAGGGUAUGUCUGAGCACUGAGAUGAGCACUAGGGCUGCUCACAGUGCAGAUCAGCAUGCAUUCUGUUAGCUCUCUAAAUUACAGGAAUGGGACCACUUAUUUUUGAGAAAGAAAUCUCGGCUACACCUUCUUCUAAGCUCUAAUUAUUUACACAUACACAAGAAAAGAGAUUUUCCUCAACUUUACAUACUUAAGGCAGUAGCUAAAUAUCUCAAGAUCUCAUUACUUUAACAUACUCUUUGCUUUAAUAACCUGCUUUAAUUUAUUUUUAUUUAAUGUAUUUUACUGUGUUGGAUCCAUAUCUUUUAAAAAGACAAGAGGAAAUAUGAGUAAUUAGAAAGUAGUAACAUCUGUACUGAAUGAUUCUUAUUGCUUAAUAAAAAACUUUGAAAGUGAAAUAAAAUAUUAAGACUACCAUGAAAUACCUGAAUGUGGCUGGUAUAGCUUUUGCAGUCUAUUAAUAAAUUUCACUUAGGUCAUAAUAAAAUAAAAUAACAGAUGGAGGAAAGUUGGUUGAUACAUUUAAUUUAAUUCUCAUCUUGGUAAAUAGCUUGCCCAAAAUGGACAGUUAUGGUGUGAGAAACAAAGUGUUUUGAGAAAUCCCCCUUCCUGCCUUGGCAAACUCCAAGAAUAUUGUAGCAAAAUGUUUCCAAAAAGGGAGCUGAAUUCAUAUCUUGUGAUAGGAAUUGCUUUAUUUGCUAAUGAUAUGCAAUAGGACACAAAAAAUGUGCCGUGUAAUAGCACAAAAUUGUUUCAGCGAGUGUGACUGAGGAGAAAGUCAGAUGGACUUAACUUUCUUGAAUGAAUGACAAAAUUCAGAGGAGGCUAGAAAGUAACAUGUUUUUGGAAGAAUCAUCUGGAACUCUGAUUUACCCUAUCACCACAGAAAAAGAUCUUAAACAAAAGCCAACCAACAGAGAUAAGGGAGAUCUCUGCAAUGGGAAGAGAGAAGAUCAUUUUGGUUACUUGCUGUAGGUCUUGUGUGUCUGCCACAGAAUCACCUAGACAUGGCUGGAAACUGAACUGCAUCCUGAGAGUUGGACUCUGACCCAGUAUGGCAUUUUUUAGAUCCUGAAAAUUGGUAUUUGGGUGGUGUGGUGAAAGCUUUGCAUUCAGCAGAUUUGCAUACUGAGAAAUAGGAUGUCAAACAAUUAAAUGCUCUGAUACCUUCACAGUGAUGUGGCCUCAUCAGAAAUACUGUGCUCAGUUCAGUCAGCCAAGCUGUUUUAGACUUUGUUCUGGAAAAGAGAUAAAUGCCUCUGGAGAUGCUGAAAUGGCCAGUUCUUGAAGAUAAGGCUGUGGACUAGCUGGGGUGAUUCCUCUGACACAGUGGUGCAUUUCCUUUGUCUCUAGCAUGUUAAAUAUUUAGGCAGUGACUGUUUCAUUUCCUGAAGUUUCAUUCAUCUUGUUUAAAGAUGCACUUAACUGAUAUUUAAUAAAAUAUUGUGGAUACUCUUGAAUUUAA